rnacentral:rRNA from 1 species
CCUACGGGUGGCAGCAGUGGGGAAUAUUGCGCAAUGGGCGAAAGCCUGACGCAGCGACGCCGCGUGAGGGAUGAAGGUCUUCGGAUCGUAAACCUCUGUCAGCAGGGAAGAACGGUCACUGUGCUAAUCAGCAGUGAAUUGACGGUACCUGCAAAGGAAGCACCGGCUAACUCCGUGCCAGCAGCCGCGGUAAUACGGAGGGUGCGAGCGUUAAUCGGAAUUACUGGGCGUAAAGCGCUCGUAGGCGGUAUGUCAAGUCAAGGGUGAAAUCCCCGCGCUCAACGUGGGAACUGCCUUUGAAACUGGCAAACUUGAGUGUGUGAGAGGAUAGUGGAAUUCCAGGUGUAGGGGUGAAAUCCGUAGAUAUCUGGAGGAACACCGGUGGUGAAGGCGGCUUGCUGGACGGUAACUGACGUUGAGGCUCGAAAGCGUGGGGAGCAAACAGGAUUAGAUACCCCAGUAGUC